AAACGGAACUGGGAGCGCUUCGGUGACUUGCUCGGGAGCACCCAGCGGCGCGUAGCUGCCCGAGACACGGCUCCAACUCGGAUGUUCUUGAUCCCAAGUCCAGCGCUGGGGGUUUAAAGGAAGGCUAUGGGCUGCCUGAGAGGAAAGACACCAGGAUAAUAGUGGCACCCACUUGGGAUGCGGCGGUGUCCGUAGAAGCCCUGAGUGCACGUGGUGGCCGCACAUCCCUUCCCCCCCCCCCCCCCCCGCGCGCUCCGAGGGGCUCCCCCCAGGCCUUGCCCCCAGCUCCGAUGCUACUUCCAGCGCUUUACUACGGAUUGGGGAAGGUCGGGGCUUGCGGCCUGUGAAGGCCCCGGCCCCCCCGCCCCCGGCUGCAUUUGGAUCCCGUAGCCCCGCCCAGAGCUCCGGGGGUGUGGGGACGGGCUGGGGCGAGCUCCCGGGCCAGUUCGGGGAGUCUACAACUAUCCCGGGCCUGGGCGCUGUCCAGAGGAGUCGGGUCUCCGGAAGGGAAUCACGGCCUUCGUAGGGACCGCAGUAACUCCUGUGGCAACAGAGCGGGACUAUCCCUCCCCUAGGCUGGAGACUCUUGCCCGUGGCUACCAUUUCCUGCCCCAGCUCAACAUCACCUUCACAUUCCCCUUCACUUUCAACCAUGAGGUCCUUUUUAGUCAUGUUCCUCGUAGCCAUCAUCAUCAUGACCAAGCAAUUUGCCCAAGCCCUGAAUUGCCAUGUUUGUACAGCUAAUGAAAAUGACUGUUCGAACCCAAUGCAGUGUCCUGGACUAGCCAUCUACUGCAAGACCAUUCGGGCCUCUUCUCCAGCUCUGGUCUACAAAUCCUGUGCGGCCAUCUGCACCAAGGAUAGCAUGGAGGAAAUUCAAAUAAAACAAAAUGCCAAGGUGUCCUGCUGCCAGUCAGACCUGUGUAAUGGGGCUGCUUCCUGGAACCCGGGAUCCUCAAGCCUCAUCCUCACGGGGCUUCUCAGCAUCUUCUGGGGCCUGUUUGCUCUUGGUCUCUGAGCUAUAGCCAGCAGACCCACAGGUGGAUAAAUUAACUUCCUUUCCCUCCUUUGCAUUGAUAGCUCAGCCUGGCUCCCAGGUGAGAGAGGGAGACUAUGCUCCUGUCCUUCCUUUGUCACUAGGUCCCACUCAGAGCACUGGGCUGUUUCCAGCCCUCCAUCACCUACCAUCCCCCACUGCUAUGUCUCUGUUUGGCUUUCAUAUCAGUAGAAUAGCCCUGGCCAUUUUCCAGAAGGUCGAAAAUGAUUCUUAUGACACAAUUUUGAUUUGGAAGGAAAUCACAAAAUCCCAGAUUUAAAAGGGACUCUAGAGAGCAUCCCAUGCAACCUUCAUUUGAGCAGCAAUCCCCUCUGUUAUAUCCCUGACAGGCUCUCAUUCAGCGUUGACUUGAAGAAUGCCGGUUGUGGGAAACUCCCUAUCUGUUGGGGCACCCCGUUCUACUUCUGGACAGUUUUAAUUGGCAGGAAGCAUUUCCUUAUAUCCAGUCCAAAUCUUCCUCUCUGCAAUUUUUAGACCUGGUUCCUAAUUUUGCUUGCUAGGACCAAGCAGACCAAGUCGAAUCUGUCACAUAUCUGAAGACAGCUAUAGUUUCCGUUCUCUUUUGCAAGUUAACGCUCCUAUCCCUCCAACCCCAGUCCUUGCAUGGCAGGAGACCUCACAGAUCAUUCUAUUUUAGCCUCGCCUCAUUUUACAGAGGAGGACACUGAGCUUUAAAGAAAAAUCCUUGCUUGUCUAACAUAGGUAGGAAAUGACAAAGGUGAGACUUGAACUCAAGAUUUUUGACUUCAGAUCUAGUUUUGUUUAUUCUCUUUGCUGUGGAAGAAAUACCAGUCUCUGGUCCCCUUCCAGGACACUCCUCAAAUUUCCAGUUAAUUUAAGGUUUGAGGAAUAGGUUAAAGAAGGCUAGAAGUGGAAGGAGAAGAAAAAUCUCUUGAAUCCCUCUUGUUCGUUGUGGAGUUCAGGGGAGUGACAACACAGAAUCCCAACAGCUGCUCCUGGGCUGGCUCUCUCCCCAAAGUCUCAAAUGUUUAUUGGUCUGUCAGAUGUCACCCCAGGCUCUUUCUACAAAAGGGAAGGCAUGGGGAAAGCAGCCAGGCUAAUGUUGACCUCUGGAGGGAAGGGAAGGGAACAGAUCAUAUUGGGGCUUUUUUUAGCUGCCUGACUCAGCCCUGGGAUGAGAAACCAAGGCCCUUGUCCCCAGGGCAUCUCUCCCACUCCCCCCUCCUAGGUGAGAAGGCAAACAUGACUACGCCAGUAACCUCUCCUAACAGAAGUAGGAGAGGCUGAAGUUAUAGGAACAGGAGGCCCGCUAAAACAGCCCAGUGACACUCCAGGCUCAACUAACAACCUCUGGCUACAGAUAUGAGGCUCCGUGGGAUUAGCUACCCCUCAUGGAGAAGUAGAAAGCACGUUUGGUGGUCCAUCCUCUGGAGUCAAAGAGCCCCUCAUUUUUUUACAGCUGAGAAAACUUCCCAAAAAGAAGGGGAAAGGCAUGCUAAUUAGUAAAUAUAAUAAACUAAAUAGUAAAUAAUAUAUAGCAGAGCAUGGACCAGAACGUAAGUGAAACAAUGCAUAGAGUGCUAAGUCUGAAGUCAGAAACACCUGAGUUUGAUUCCUGCCUUGGUUACUAAUUCUAUGAAUCUGGACAAGUCAUUUCAACUCUGUUUGCCUCAGUUUUUUCAUCUGUAAAAUGGGGAUAAUAAUGGCACUUACCUUCCAGGGUUUGGUGAGGAUUAAAUGACACUAUAUUGAUAAAGUAUCUAACAGUGCUUAAUAUAUGGUAGGCACUAUAUAAAUGCUUGUUUCUUUCCUUCUGAUCCCACCCCCCCAAAUCAAGAUUCUCUGCAUUUUGCCUUUUAUUCCUAGAAAGGAACUUGGUGGUCAUGUAUAAGGCUGCCCUCGAUAUACACAUACAUACAUACAUCAUCAUCAUUAUCAUUGUCUAUUGAGGUCAAUAAUAUAUCCCCCAGAGGUUUGGCUGAGAUGAAUUAUUGACGGGAUAAAAUAUAAACUCCCAAUAUCAUUCAAGGUUCACUCACCAGCUGGUUCCCAUCUACCUGCCAGAUCUUAUUUUAUUGUCCUUCCCUUGCUCUAUGUUCUAGAGAAACUGGACAACCCUUCACCUCUUGUUCUUUGUCUGACAAUCCCCAUCUCUGUGUAUUUUUGUCCAUACCAUCUUCCCCAUCUCCAUCUAUUGAAGACCUUUUUCUUUCACCCUUUAUAGUCCAAUUCAGAUGCCACCUUUUUCCUUGAACCUCCCUCCCUAAUCUUUUCCCUAAGUCACAUGUUGUCCCUCAGAGUCCUAUUUCUUUCCCUCUCUCUGCUCUCUAGAGCCUGAAUUGUCACCCAAAUGGAAGAGAAUGGCAGGCCAUCCCCAGUAAUCUCUCAAAGGUAGAAAUCUAUUCAUCCAGUUAAGGGAGGAAGGAAGGAGGAAGGUCUGCAGGUAAAAUCUCAGCCUUUCUCCCAGACUUUUAUCUGGUCCAUCACUGUACCAAACUGAAGCUUAGACAGACUUUGUAGAUACAAACAAAACAAAAUUAAAGCUAGAUAAAUUAGAAAGAUUUUGUAUUUGGAUAAAUUCAGAGUUAUAUAUGUAUGGGAGACUUCACAGGGACUUUCAAACCAAAUUUGAAGCCUCCUCUCAUUAAGUUCUUAUUUCUUCAGUUAUUCCUGGGAACUCGUCAAACCUUUUUUGUGCAUCUUCUUAUAGACCUACCUUGAAUUAUUGAUGUAAGGUAUGUGAAUACAUCCUGAGUGUUCUCAUUAACCUUUCUCCUCAGAAAAAAAGAAACAUUAGGAAGGCUCCCUCAGAGUCUACUAGUACACCUAACUCAUCCAUGAGCAAAGUAUGACAAUGAUUAUUGAUUUUGCAAGGUAUUAUCUGCUACUCUAACAUAUCCUAUAUUAGAUUGUAAACUCCUUGAGGACAGGUGAGGACAGGCAGUACUGUGUAUCAGACAGAGCACUUGGACUUGGGGUUAUAAGACCUGGAUGUCACUCUGGCUGCUGUAUUUGCUUGACUCUUCAUUGUCAACUUGUCUUCCUCAGCUUCAGUAUCCUUAUCUGUAAAAUAUGGAUACUAACCUUUGCACUGCCUACCUCACAGAGCCAUGUAAGGAUCAAAUAAAAGACACAACAAGUAUUUUACAGCCUAUACACAUGUAAAAUAUUAUCUAAAGUUUGCAUUACUCUGAAUAUCUAUUAUAAACGUUCUUCAUGUAGCACGUGAUGAAUAAAGAUUUGCUGAAUUCAAAGAAGCAUCUUUCUAUGUCUGUUUCAUCAUCUAUACUUACUGGGUAGCGUGUAUAGCAUUUGAUUUGAAAUUAAAAGGCCUGAGUUCUACUUUUGUCCCUGCUACUAACUACUUCAUGACCUGUAAUUAGGUGGUACAGUGAGGGAAGUCCUGGACUUGAAGUCAGCAAGGUCCGAGUUCAGAUCCAACUUCAGCUUAUGAUCUUGGGCAAGUCGCUAACUUCUGCUUGCCUUAGUUUCUGUAAAAUAAGUAAGAUAACAAUACACCUACCUCCCAGAGUUACUGUAAGCAUUAGACCCGAUGAUAUUUUCUAAAAUACAGUGCAAACCUUAAAAUGCUACAUACAUAUUAGCUACAAUUAAGUAAUUUUCCCUUCUAUAAAAAUGAAAAGAUGGGAUCACUUGGACUCUAUGUCUGAGGUCCUUGGUAUUACAGUUUACUCACCUGGAAAUAGAUUCCUAAUCUGAGGAACACACUGUCCACCCUCCCUCCCAGACGUAAGAGCAACUCAGGUGGGGUGUGAAAGAAUAGCCCACAUGAUUGGAUUACGAAGCUCAACUUCUGCAUAAAUAAAAUAAAUACAUCUAUUUUUGUCUAUGGAAACAAAGUCUACAUCCAAGUCAACAAAACCAAGACUAACGCAGUAAAUUAUCUCCAACUGACAGUGGUUCAGGGAGUUCUCAAUAAGACAUAUCCAACCAAGGUCAAAUUGGAAUGGAGCUUUACAUCUCCAGGUAACCUUGGGCCAUCAUAGCUGGUCGGUGUGGGCAGUUGUGAGAUUGAUGAAUUGUAUUGAUCUCCAAUUGAACGUGAAGGAUAUAAACUCAAAAAUUACACAAUCUUUGUGGAGAAGGGCCCCAUGAUGUUCAGUUAUACUUAACUUGAAUGUGACUCCCUCUUUCCCUUAUAGCUUUUCUAGAAACUCAAGUCAUACCUGUUAUAAUUAUUAAAGUCAUUAAAAUCAAAUAAUUGAUUAAAAUCAAGUAUAAAAUCACAUAUCAAUAUUUCUUAAUGUCAUUUAUUUUGGAAGCAUAAUUAAAAUAAGCAAUUUCUUUAAAACAUACACACAGAGAGAGAAAUCUUACAGCUCUUAAAAAAAGUGACUUUAACAGAAAUAACAAUGUUUCAAUAGUUACAUUUAAAUUUAAUAAUCUUUAAAUUUGUCUCAAUUUUAGAAUAAAAUAAAAUGCCUUUUGUGCCUUAUUUAUCUAAGUUAUAAAAAUGAAGACUUUUAGGGAUUUUAAUUAUCUGAUAUAUCUUAUAUUACUUUUAUUCUAUUUUAAAAAUCCAUGUUAGAACACUGUGAUGAAUUAUGACUUUUAUUUGAAUAAAAUAUAAACUGAGAAUAUCUCCUUUAUAGACUGCUUUAGGAAAGACAUCAUCAUUUCUAACUGGCUCGUUAUUACAUAAAGAUGAGAAAUCACCGCCUUAAGUGAAACACUUUAGAAAAAUCUCAGUCGAAAAACCAUUACAUUGAAUUCCCAAUCCCUAUAUUUAUGCCCACCUGCAUUUUUGAUUUCCUUCACAAGCUAAUUGUACAACGUUUCAGAGUCUGAUUCUUUUUGUACAGCAAAAUAAUGUUUUGGUCAUGUAUACUUAUUAUGUAUCUAAGUUAUAUUUUAAUAUAUUUAACAUCUACUGGUCAUCCUGCCAUCUGGGGGAGGGGGUGGGGGGUAAGAGGUGAAAAAUUGGAACAAGAGGUUUGGCAAUUGUUAACGCUGUAAAGUUACCCAUGUAUAUAACCUGUAAAUAAAGGGCUAUUAAAAAAAAAAAAAAAAAAAAAAAUAAGAGCGUCCCAGUCGGAAGGCGGCGUUUCGGGGCAACGUCCGCGAGUUCCGCGUGUAGCUUGGCCAACAAGCGGCCUUCCGUGCAUAAAGAAUCACGGCUUCUGUUUGGGCCGAUGGCUCCCGGACUGUGACUCUGGCUCACCCGAUGGCGGAAAGGAGGCUGGUCCGGGCCAGGCCCGAGAAGGGCCUUGGUUUAAGAAGGCACCGAGCGCCACUGGGCCCAGAAGGCUCUGGAAGAGGGCGGGAGGCCGGUGACUUUGCAGGCUCUCCCUCGCCCAGCAGCAGCAGCAGCAGCAUAUUUGUUCCCUGCGAGGGUGGGCUCCAGCGCGGCUGAGGCCGGCGGCGGUGGGCGGCAGAGCCUGAAUCCGGGCCCCGCUACCUCAGACCCCCGCCUCCCCCCGCCCCGACACGGCUGCCGUGACACCCCCCGGAACGUUCUAGGGCUUCUCUGCCCCGUGACCACGCGCUGGGCCCCUCAGUGAGCCCAAGGAGGGGAGCACCGGAAGUGGUUCCGGGGCGCCUCGUGGGGGGCCCCUCUCGUUUAGGGACCGGAAGGGCGCUCACCCCUCCCUCCCGCCGCACUUCCUCAUUUAAAGCCCGAGAGAGUUGUAGGAAUGAGGGGCGUUACUUAGCCCGGGGCUUGAGCUGGGGGCCCCUCUGGUCCCGCUUCCUUAACUCUGGGUCCUCGGGGACUAGGAGACCAGAGAGGGCGGGAGCUCACGCAGGUCACCCAGCCCGGGCCUCUGCCUCGGGAGGGGGGGGGAGGGGCGGGCAGAAGCUUCCAGAAGCAGCCGCCCUCUGCUGGUGGGGGGGGACGGUGCAGGCACUCCCGGAAGGAAGGCCCUGAACGCCGCGCACACUGCCUGCCGCUCCCUCCCGGGUCAGGUCUGCGGGAGGGAGGGGAGAGGGAAUGGGGACGGGGAGUGAGAGGGGCAAGGGGGAGGGAGUAGGGAAGGGAGAAUGGG
rnacentral:lncRNA from 1 species